GUACACUCCUACGGGAGGCAGCAGUGGGGAAUUUUGGACAAUGGGCGAAAGCCUGAUCCAGCCAUGCCGCGUGCAGGAUGAAGGCCUUCGGGUUGUAAACUGCUUUUGUACGGAACGAAACGGCCUUUUCUAAUAAAGAGGGCUAAUGACGGUACCGUAAGAAUAAGCACCGGCUAACUACGUGCCAGCAGCCGCGGUAAUACGUAGGGUGCAAGCGUUAAUCGGAAUUACUGGGCGUAAAGCGUGCGCAGGCGGUUAUGUAAGACAGUUGUGAAAUCCCCGGGCUCAACCUGGGAACUGCAUCUGUGACUGCAUAGCUAGAGUACGGUAGAGGGGGAAGGAAUUCCGCGUGUAGCAGUGAAAUGCGUAGAUAUGCGGAGGAACACCGAUGGCGAAGGCAAUCCCCUGGACCUGUACUGACGCUCAUGCACGAAAGCGUGGGGAGCAAACAGGAUUAGAUACCCGUGUAGUCCCAU
rnacentral:rRNA from 1 species